UAUUAGCAAAUUGGUGUUCCACAUUAAACUUAAAAUCAGCAUUUGAAUAUGUUUAAUAUGGGUUGAUAAGGAUACCUUGAUUAGAAAAUACGGCCGGAGAAAAUUAACGUUAAAUGUGAAAGCUCAAAAAGGUUCAACACACUUGAAAUGUCCUCCUUGCAUGAAGAACAAGGUGAACAGAGACAUGAAUCACUGGACCUGCUCAAAUCUGCAAUCAGAGAGCAUGAUUACCUCUCAAGUUACCAGGAUAUUUUUGAUGAUGCUUUACUAUUAGGAUUCCUUCACGGUAAAAAAUACAAUGUGCCCUCAACUUUGGAUUGUUUAAAGCAAUACAUGUAUGUCCGCACAGAAAAGUACAAAAAGUUCACUAAAACGUAUCUCCUUCCAUCACGCGCAAGCAUAUUGGAUAUUCGAUCAAUGAAUUUCUUGAAACAAAUGGAUCCCCAGAGAAGAACGGUGGUCUACGUGCAGUGUGAUUUGUGGGACGUUAAUGUGCAGUGUUUAUGAAACGAUGGCUUAUCACGCGUUCGUGAUGGAUGAAGCACUUCGAAGCUACUUGGGGGACACGGAAAGCAAUGAGUUUGUCACCAUUUUCAAUUUUGACGGGUGGGUGUUACGUCAAGGACUUCAAUUCACGCCGAGAGUGGCUCUCCAAAUUGUAGACUUUGUUUUGAAAAGUGUUCCAAUUCGACCUGCGGCAUUUCAUUUAGUUAACGCCGGCUCAAUAAUCGAUUUCAUGAUGCGAAUAUUUAAGCAUCUUUUGCCAACAAAGAUACAAAAUCGGAUUUUCAUUGAUUCUAAUUGUGCCCAAUUGCACGAACAUUUGCCACCCGAAAUUUUGCCAAAAUCAUUGGGAGGUGUGUUGGAAAAUGAGGAGGCUUUCCGAACUGAGCUACCUGACAAGAUUCGCAGUCAGGAAGAGUUUUACCAGAAACUAAUCGAAUUUUCGGAUUAAAUUAAUAUUUACUUUUUAUGCAAUUUUGAGUUUUGAUUAGUUCAGUAUUUGCAUACCUAGAAUUGUGAUAACUCAUAUAUAAAUAUUUAUUAUGUACACGUUUACACAUGUCAAAUAUACUAGAAAUACAUACACAUAAUAUACAUGUAA